rnacentral:lncRNA from 1 species
AAAGAGCUCUUUUUCCCUACAUCGGCGAGUUAAUACUUUGAUCUCUACCAACUGGAAGCACAGAUAACUAUAUUUAAAAACAGGAACAUCUGCUAUCUUCAUGAGUAAAUAAACAGUAAAAAAGUAGAUGACCAAACCCAAAUAUUUUCAUGAAUGUUACAGGUCAUUUUUGUUAAUGUGUAAGUACAUCAAACAUGUUCUAACAAGCAGGAAAAUUGUAGAAACAUUCAAAUGAUGAGCAGUUCCUAAUUCCUAUCAUGGAAUCAGUGCAGGAUGCAUUGCACUGAGCACCUUCUGUGUGAUAUGGAGAUGGGCAGAGGCAAAGAUCAAGGAAUUAAAAUUCGAAAAGAAUAAAUAAGCUAUCAGUAAGCCAAUAGAAAUCGACACAGAAAAAAUAAAUAAGUUUACUUCAGUAGCCGAUAGGGAUCGACGCAUUUGGAGACAUAACUACCACAACAAAGAUUCCAUCGUUGUAAUAAUAGCCUUAGUGCUGAAUUAUACUCCUUAAAAUAUGUCUCGGGCAUUUUCUUCAAGUACCUUGUAGGCAACAAGAAUGACAAUGAUUCUAGGGAAUGAAAUUCUCUCGCAAAUAAUCUGACUUGUAUUGUAAAUUCACCUAGCUGUAUGAAAAUCAAAACCAAUCAUUAAAUAGGUUAUCCAAAGAAUUGAUAAACAGACUUUAAGAGCGAAAGUGUUUUAACCUGAACUUCCAAGAAAUCAUCAAAGCAGAAGUGGCUUCCCUCCCAUCAAUAAACUUCCAGGUGAACAGGAGAAGCAUGACCAUGGAG